GGAGGUAGUGACAAUAAAUCACAAUGCGGAACAAUGUUUUGCAAUUGGAUUGAGAACAACGUACAAACCUUAUCGAUAAACAAUUGGAGGGCAAGUCUGGUGCCAGCAGCCGCGGUAAUUCCAGCUCCAAUAGCGUAUAUUAACGUUGUUGCAGUUAAAAAGCUCGUAGUUGAAAUGAAGGGUAGUUGUGUAAUGAAUACAUUCGUGUAUUUUGUUAUUCAAGUACCCUCCUUCUAAAUUCGAUAUAUGAGUAUUAAUUUACUUGUAUAUGGUUUUAGACGUUUACUGUGAGAAAAUUAGAGUGUUCAAAGCAGGCAUUUGCUUGAAUAUAUUAGCAUGGAAUAAUCAUGUAUGAUUUUCAUGAUGUAUUUGAUUGGUUUGGUUCAUGAGAAUAAGAUUAAAAGGGACAGUUGGGGGUAUUCAUAUUCAAUAGUCAGAGGUGAAAUUCUCGGAUUUAUGGAAGAUGAACAAGUGCGAAAGCA
rnacentral:rRNA from 1 species